rnacentral:rRNA from 1 species
UACGUAGGGGCCGAGCGUUGUCCGGAGUUAUUGGGCGUAAAGCGCGCGCAGGCGGCUCGUCAAGUCUGGCGUGAAAGCCCCCGGCUCAACCGGGGAGGGUCGUCGGAGACUGGCGAGCUUGAGGGCGGUAGGGGCUGGUGGAAUUCCCGGUGUAGUGGUGAAAUGCGUAGAGAUCGGGAGGAACACCCGUGGCGAAGGCGGCCAGCUGGGCCGUCCCUGACGCUGAGGCGCGAAGGCGUGGGGAGCGAACGGG